rnacentral:rRNA from 1 species
GUGCCAGCCGUCGCGGUAAUACGGAGGGUGCAAGCGUUGUCCGGAAUCACUGGGUGUAAAGGGUGUGCAGGCGGGGCAGCAAGCCGGAGGUGAAAGUCCAUGGCUUAACCAUGGAAGUGCCUUCGAAACUGUUGCUCUUGAGUCCCGGAGAGGCUGUCGGAAUUCGUGGUGUAGCGGUGAAAUGCGUAGAUAUCACGAGGAACACCAGAGGCGAAAGCGGGCAACUGGACGGGUACUGACGCUCAGGCACGAAAGCGCGGGGAGCAAACAGGAUUAGAAACCCGGGUAAUCC